rnacentral:tRNA from 1 species
GGAACCGUGGCUCAAUGGUAGAGUAUCUGCAUGGCAGGGGGAAGGUCCCAGGUUCAAUACCUGGCAUUUCCA